AGAGUUAAACAGUACGUGAAAUUGCUAAAAGGGAAACGUUUGAAAUCAGUGUGGUGCCUCGUAAAUCAGUCGUCUGGGCAACUGGACGGUGCACUUUACGCGGCACUGGUCACCAUCAGUUUAGGAGGGCGUAGAACACUUGUGGAAGGUGGCUGCUGCUUGCAGUAGUGUUAUAGCCGCAAGGAAUCCGUCCUUCUAGACUGAGGACCGCAGUACAGGCCGCAAGGCAGGGCUCCUAGGAGGCUAUCGGGAAGGAGGUUAAUGACAGCUCGCUGACUUUAGUCUCUGGACUGGUACUCAAAUCUUGGAUAGUCACUUCUGUGCUUAGGAUGGUGACGAAAUGGUUUUAAACGACC
rnacentral:rRNA from 1 species